CGCACCUUUGAGGGUCUUGCGCAGGUGGGAGAGCAGCCCCCCGAGGCGCUGCUGGUCGAAGUAGUCCACCUUGCCGUUGUAGAAGACCUGGGGUGGGACGUAGGCCUCUGCGCGAGGCCGGCACCCGGGCGGCGGUCAGGCCCGGCCCGCGCCGCAGGGGCCGCGCGGACCGCCGGCCGAGCCCUCACCUGCCGCUCCAUGACUGCCGCCGGCGGGCGGGGCGGACGGCGCCGGAAGUGAGGCGCGGGGGCGGAGCCCGGACCGCCCCGAAAGCCGCG